rnacentral:rRNA from 1 species
GAACCUGCCCUGCACAGGGGGAUAACACUUAGAAAUAGGUGCUAAGACCGCAUAAGCGCACGGGACCGCAUGGUACAGUGUGAAAAAUGGAAACAUGGUGCAGGAUGGCUCCGCGUCUGAUUAGCUGGUUGGCGGGGUAACGGCCCACCAAGGCGACGAUCAGUAGCCGGCCUGAGAGGGUGACCGGCCACAUUGGGACUGAGACACGGCCCAAACUCCUACGGGAGGCAGCAGUGGGGAAUAUUGGACAAUGGGGGAAACCCUGAUCCAGCGACGCCGCGUGAGUGAAGAAGUAUUUCGGUAUGUAAAGCUCUAUCAGCAGGGAAGAAGAAAUGACGGUACCUGACUAAGAAGCCCCGGCUAACUACGUGCCAGCAGCCGCGGUAAUACGUAGGGGGCAAGCGUUAUCCGGAUUUACUGGGUGUAAAGGGAGCGUAGACGGUAAGGCAAGUCAGAUGUGAAAGCCCGGGGCUCAACCGCGGGACUGCAUUUGAAACUGUCCUACUGGAGUGCAGGAGAGGUAAGUGGAAUUCCUAGUGUAGCGGUGAAAUGCGUACAUAUUAGGAGGAACACCAGUGGCGAAGGCGGCUUACUGGACUGUAACUGA